rnacentral:rRNA from 1 species
UACGUAGGGGGCAAGCGUUGUCCGGAUUUAUUGGGCGUAAAGAGCGUGUAGGCGGCUAGACAGGUCCGCUGUGAAAACUCGAGGCUCAACCUCGAGACGUCGGUGGAAACCGUCUGGCUAGAGUCCGGAAGAGGAGAGUGGAAUUCCCGGUGUAGCGGUGAAAUGCGCAGAUAUCGGGAAGAACACCCGUGGCGAAGGCGGCUCUCUGGGACGGUACUGACGCAUGAGACGACGAAGCGGUGGGAGCGAACGAGG